rnacentral:rRNA from 1 species
UACGUAGGGGGGCUAGCGUUGUCCGGAUUUAUUGGGCGUAAAGAGCGUGUAGGCGGCCAUGUAGGCUCCGGUGUGAAAACUCGAGGCUUAACCUCGAGAUGUCAUCGGAAACCCAUUUGGCUAGAGUCCGGAAGAGGGAGAGUGGAAUUCCUGGUGUAGCGGUGAAAUGCGCAGAUAUCAGGAAGAACACCCGUGGCUAAGGCGGCUCUCUAGUACGGUACUGACGCUGAGACGCGAAAGCGUGGGGAGCGAACAGG